UUUCUUAGAGUUGCCAAAAUAUAUUUAUUAACACAAACAUUGAUUUUUGGUCUGGGAAAAUUCAUGACAAUUUUCACGUAAAGAGGUAACCUGUAACAAAGCAAUCCCACAGUAACAAAACCAAAAUGUUAGAUGAGUAUAGAUUUCUCAAAAUAGCAUGUCUACAAACACAGUUGAAUAGCACAUUAAAAAGCCCAAGCUUCAAGAACAAUUAUAUAAUAGGCAACCAAAAUUCAAUAGACAGGCAUGUUAUUUCACAGACAUGUUUCCUAAAGAUAGCCUCUUCGAUAUUUUCCCAAGAAGAGGUUGAUCUAUUGUUUAGCACUGCAAAUCAUGAAUAAUCUUUUGGACUGCCUUAUACAUGAACCUGUGAUGCAUAAAAUGAGAAAGCCUGUGACUAAGGCUGUAAUCAAGACUGUGAGGAUAUGUAUCUGGAAAUUCAUCAGAAGUGUCACACUAGAAGUGUGCAACUAAGCAUCCAAGAAACAAGGUCUGCUGGAAGUAACUCACAGUUCAGUGUAUGGACCAAAAAAAGUUAGACCUCUUGGUUACACAAUCCUUCACACCUAGCACAAAUGAGGCAGACAGGUAUUGUGAUGUGUCUGAAAAGCUUGCCCAUUUUCUUCAUGUUUUCCAGUCUAUUAGUCAAAUGAAAAAUAUAACUUGAACAUCUUGACUUUAUCUUAAUUCUAAGCCAAAGUGUAACAUUUGUAGGAAAUCAUAUCCCCCUUUUGAGCUGAACAUCUUGAUGUGCUCGAAUAGCUGUAAAAUAUUAUUUUCCCUUUUCACAGUCACCACAGUUAUUGUUAAAGCUACUUCAUAAAACUUGACUUUACAUUUGUACAGUUUAGAGUAUUUCAGUUCUAAGGGACCUAUAAUGAUCAUCCAGUCAACUGCCUGACCACUUUUAAGUUAAUGGUGUUAAAGCUAAAAGUGAGGGCAUUUUCCAAAUGCCUCUUAACAGGGACAGGCCUGGGGCAUCAAAAACCUCCAAGAAGCGUCUUCCAGUGUCUGCUCUUCAAUGUGUUCUCUGCACCCAAAUUUCUCUCCCAAAAAUUACUUCCCCCCCCCUCCCCCCCCCCCCCUUCUUUUAAUCACCUAUUAUGUUACAACAUGCUUUGGGCUAAGACACUUAUUAUCAACUGCUGGAGUACCCCUGUCAUUAGGAGUUAAAGUAAAAGCUUUUAUAGAAGUUCAAGCCAUUUUACAAGCUACGAGAUACUCACUUUAUCAGUGAAGUGCAAUGUCUAUAUGGCAAUUAAAGAUUCUACUCAAAAAGUCACCUAGUUCUAGGCUAAAGAGCCAUAAAAGAGCUUGGUUUCAAAAAGGAAAUGGAAAAAAGCACAUGCAAAAUGAGAUAAAUGUAGUUUCCUUACCAGAAUAUUUCCUUACCAGAAUACCAGAAUAUACCAGGGUUAACAUUAACCACUGUUAACUAAUAAAUGUGUGAAAAGCGCUACUGAACUUAACAGUUCCCAGACCCCCUUAUUCCCUGACAAAAAAAAAAAAAA
ensembl:lncRNA